UGGCAUAAAGCCGCCCAUUGACAAGCCGAGCGUGGGAACGCCCGUCCUUUCUAGUUUUGCUGAGGAGGUCAUUCUCAGGCGCGGACCAACCUCUAACCUUGGCUUUUCCCCCUAAUCUCCCUGGGGAUUGGACUUCAGCCCCUGUUGAGACACACACAGCAGACCAGGACGGGACAGAGAAGAAACAAGUGGCUAUGGAAGAACGGCUCCAGCGAGAUUUUUGUCGUCCAGAGACUGGAAAGGAAAGAGGGAAGAUUUGAGGGGACACCCAAUCCAGGCCUCUGAAACACAGUCAGCUCAAUUUAUCAGGCAGCUGCAACUAUUACAAGAUGCAUGUCAGAAAGUCAACGGGGAAAAAGAAGCGGAAAAGAACACAGUGUUCAAGGUUACAACUGAAUAACAGACACCAGAAGCCAAGCUUUCUUAAUGCACUCCUACAUAUCAUCACCCUGAAUGCUGUGGAUUCUUACUACCUCAUGACAUCCAUUCUUGGUUUCCCACAAUGCACUUGCCUGAGCAUCGCUGCCUUCCUGGAUCGCUGCUUCCUCAUUGGCCACCUGGCUGGCUAGGUUUUUCCACAUAGGAGUCCAGAUGUUCCCAGGUGAGAUGCUAGAAUUCAAAUGGAUGGAGAACUGAAAUCAAAGUGGCAGGAGGAUGUGGGGGAAAGGAAAUAUUGUUUAAAUCUGGUUCUAUAUCAUGAAUACAUCCCCAAAUGAAUGAGACUGAAGCACCAUGUCUGUUAUUUCCAGAAAUAUAAACUUUCACAUCUGCCUUACAUAUAUUUAAAAUGUUCAGUACUGUGCCUAUUCCAAGGACCUGACAGGUAUACACAGUAGGAUUGCCAACAUCCAGUUGGGGGCUGGAGAUCCCCCAGAAUUAGAACUCAUCUCCACACUACAGAGAUGACCCUCCCCUGAACAAAAUAGGUAUUUUGGAUGGAGGAUCGUUUGGCAUUGUAUCCCACGGAGGUAUCCCCCACAGAGUCAAAUUCUUAGGCCCCUUCCGCACACGCAAAAUAAUGCGUUUUCAAACCACUUUCACAACUGUUUGCAAGUGGGUUUUGCCAUUCCGCACAGCUUAAAAGAGCACUGAAAGCAGUUUGAAAGUGCAUUAUUUUGCAUGUGCGGAAUGAGCCUUAGAGUCAAAUACCAGCAUACGGGAGAAGUGUUUUUUACCAAUUUGUUCUGGAAUAUCAGAACCUAUAUUAAAAGUAGUUUAUUUAGUUAACUGUAUUAAGAUUUUUAAAGAAUUUCAUAUCUAUAAACUUUGCUACUGGAGAUUUUUAAUAUACAGUCUGUUAAACCAUCCUGAUAUUAUUGUAAGCGUUCUUUGUAUGAUACUGAUUGUGUUUUCUAAUUCUCUUUCUAACAUUUGUUAUUUUAUCGCGUUUAAUGAUGUGCCAUUAAAGGCGAACCCGAUUUGACAAGUCUGCUGUCUCCUUUAAACGGUAGAAUUGUAAAUAUGGCACGAUCUGCUUGUUUUGCUUUAUUUAUAUUUCUCUGUUAAUUUUGAAAAAUAAACAAAAUUAAAUUAA